UUUCAAUACCCUUGGUGCCGAAGUUAACACAUUAAGCAUUCCGCCUGGGGAGUACGGUCGCAAGACUGAAACUCAAAGGAAUUGACGGGGACCCGCACAAGCAGUGCAGUAUGUGGUUUAAUUCGAAGCAACGCGAAGAACCUUACCAGGUCUUGACAUCCCUCUGACCGUCCUAGAGAUAGGGCUUUCCUUCGGGACAGAGGAGACAGGUGGCGCAUGGUUGUCGUCAGCUCGUGUCGUGAGAUGUUGGGUUAAGUCCCGCAACGAGCGCAACCCUUGAUCUUAGUU
rnacentral:rRNA from 1 species